AAGAAGACUCAUCUCUACAGACCAUAGACUACUACAGGCUGAGUAAUCCAGGUAGGGGGAGGGAACUGUGGGAAGACGCAGGAGAGGGAAGCAGGAGAUUUCCACAGACACACACAAACCUUCUGAGGGAAAGAUUAGCCGUAGGUUGUGGGUAUUUAUUGUGCUUGUUUUCGGAUUUGAUGAGUUCGGAGUCUGAAUUGUGAGUGUUUCGACGGAGGUGGAGAAGUUUGUGUCACAGAAAAAGAUGCGACCGCUGAACGUUGAACAUGCUGCCGACGAGAGAGAUGAUGAGCUGCCAGCAGCAUCAACAGCACACAGAUGUCUCCAUGGAGGUAACAUGGGAAGAGGGGGGUUCAGGCCGGGUCAAGAUCUCCACAAGCCCAGUCAGCACAGCCAGACCACAACUCCGAGCCCAGGAAUACCACUAAUGAUCCUGAUACUGCGCCACGAACCAGUUGAACCCCAGGUGAACACACAUUCCACACAUUCACCAUUGUGACACCUUUUUCAAGCAUGCAGCACAAAACCAGGAAAUGGGAAAGAUGUACAAAUGGGCUGACAUUGAAGUGGAGGAUCUCAACAAAUUCCUUGGUCUCCACAUAUACACAGCAAUGGUGUCUACUACUACCAAGUCUCUAUGACUGAUGGAGUUACAACCACAUCUUGUCUGUGCCUUUUCGAGCCACUGUCAUGACGAGACAGAUUCAGAGCGAUAACAUGGAACCUUUACCUCAGCGACCCAGAGGAUGUUGUCAAAAAUGACAGCAAGAAGGGAACACUGCAAUAUGACAAGCUGUUCAGAAUCAAGCCUCCGUAUGAUGACAUCCGCAAUGCCUGCCAAGCACAUUACCACCCAAGGAAGGAAUUGGCAGUUGACGAGAGAAUGGUGUCAACCAGAGCGAAAACUGGCAUGACCCAAAACAUGAAGGACAAGCCCACAAAAUGGAGGAUCAGGCUUUUUGUGUUGGCAGAGACGAGCAAUGACUACACCAUAAACUUCAACGUGUACGGAGGCAAGUCUCACACACCCAGUGAACACUGUCACAUGAUGCUGUCAUGGGCCUCAUUCAGCCAUCAUAUCUUGGGGCCAGAUACCAUAUUUAGGUGGACAGCUUUUACACCAGUCCCAAAAUCCAGAAGUUUGGAGCCUGAGGUACCUACAGGCACAACAGCAAAGGGUGCCCCAAUGGGAGAGCAAAUGCCCUCACCAAAACAGCAAAGAGAGGCACAGUGAGAUGGAUCAGAGAGGGGGCGCUGCUGUUUGUGAAGUGGAAGGACAAGCGGGAGGUGUCGGUGUGCUCCACAAUCCACCCAGCCGUGUCUGGUGAGACGGUGCAGAGGAGAGUGAAGGAUGCAAAUGCAAACUGGGCAGUGGAAAGCUGCUCCCACCCCCAUCAUUGCCUACAGUAAGAACAUGGGUAGGGUUGACCUAUCAAACCAUCUCAUCCAAUAUUACUACACCCACCGCAGGACUGCCCGCUGGUAUCGCACCCUGUUCCUGCACUUUGUGGACAUUGCUACAACAAACGCCUACAUUCUGCACCGUGAGCUCAGCUACGGACAGCAGGUACAGCACAAGAGCCACAAGAACAUCCUGGUGGAACUGGUGUCCCAGCUGUGUGGAGUGGACCAGACAGGAGCUCCCAUCAAGAGGAGCACCGACCAUGUUCCUGCUGCCUGUGCCAAGGUGACAGAAAGCCACUCACUGCCGCAGGACAGAAAAAAGAACCUGACUCCAUCGUUUUAAAAGGCUUCAUUUAGCAAGUUUGUGUUUUUUGUAAUUAAAAAAUCUAAUUUUGCAAAAUCA